CUCCUCUCAGGGCCGCACCUGGAGAGUUUCCAGUACUCUACCAGUCACGACUACACGAGGGAGAGUUAUGCAGAGGCCUGCCUAUUCCAUUUCUAGCUUGGGCAGUGGCUAGUCAGUGGAAGGCAAUCUGCUACAAGU